rnacentral:lncRNA from 1 species
AGCUCACACCUGUGUAUUUCUUUUAGCCCUGCCUCCAGGUCUGAAUAUCAUCGCCCGGUCCGCUUAAUGUUGUCUUGGUUUACAAUAGGUCCUGGUGCCCGUGGGACAAGCUGUGUUGGUGUCUCCCUCUCCCCACACCUGGCUUCAGAUGUGUCCUUCUGUGGGCCUGGCUUCCAGGGUCUGAGUGACCCAGGGCUGUAGUCAGGCUUAUGUCCUGGCCUACUGGCCCGAGACCCCUCGUCAUCAUGCCUGGCCUGUUGCAUCGCUUCUGUACUUUUCCCUGCUGUGGCUCGUGUCAGAUGAACUGCCCCUGUCCACAGUAGAGCAGCUGGCUUCACCUGCUGGCCAUGUUGGCUGAAGAACAGCAGAUAGAAGUGGCAGAGGACCCCAUGAGACCCGCCACCAGGACCCAAGCCUUCUUCCCAGCAUGUCUCACCGCCUCAGUUGAGGCCGAAGUUACCACCUGGAAUUCUGCGUGGGAAGGGACCCUGGAUACCCGGAUACAUGCCCUUGGGACCCUCCAGUGCUAAAUCCCUCCACAGCUACGGGGACACCCUGCACACAUUCCCACGGGACAGACUGGACCCAAGACUCUGGACCGGGGCCUCCCCUUAUAGAGACUCACCCUCUGACUGAUGGACUGCGCUGACCUGGGGGUCAGGCGUGUAGCCUUGACCUCCAUCAUCCCCCAUGAACCCUGAGACUCGGGGAGCUGUUGACUCUUCAUUGUCCUCACUUAUGAAACAGGCCGGGACACCUACCUCACAGGACUGUUGUGAGGCUGCUGCAAUAUGGUUUAGAACCAAAGGGCUUGGCACGCCCACUUGUCUCAAUAAAUGUUUUUUGUCUUAACCA